rnacentral:lncRNA from 1 species
AAUAAAAGAUACAUUCAUAUUAACAAAUUAAAACUUGAGAAUUGAUAUCAAUAAAAGCUUCAAACAUUGCAAUGAAUCUAAUGUAAACAAAUAAUUCAGGAAUACAUGGUUAUAAGGUCAGAAACUAAAACUAUAUUUCUGUAAAUAUUCAUCGAAAGAUUUGUAAUACAACACAGAUUUUUUGUCCAGUAUCAGAGCAAAAGAAAGUAAGAAAAUAUAAGCAAUGUGAUGUUUUCAUAAAAAUUAACACCAAACCUUUAAUUCCAUGGUAAACACAUAUGCACAGAAUCAAUAUAUUUUAUUAUUGUUUUUGAAAAGCAAAAUGUCUAGGUCAACAUAAAGGGAACAAAUCAUAAACUUAAAAAAGUGCAUCAUAUGUUCCAGUGUAAAGACAUACUUCUGCUGUUCUAGAGUGCCAACAGAAUCCCCUUCUCUAUGUUACAUACUGAAUUAUCAUAGAAUUUCUAAAUAGCAAAUACCCCUUACAGAUAAAAUACCACAACUUCCAAAUUUUAUUCCAUCCCAUAGGAUUAGGUGACUAUCCCCAAACCCACUCCCCAUUAUCUUGAUCAAUUUAGCAAGAAAAUAGCAUUCAGAGUCAUAUGGAUCAAUUCAUUUGAUAUAUAUCGAUAAAUUCUUUUUCCUCUCAUAUUUGUUUCAUUCAUGGACAGAUUUUGCCAAUAAAUAGACUACACAAUUUGAGUAUUUGACAACCACAUCUUAGCAACACACCACAAAUAUCAUGAAUCAAACCCUAGAAUUGAAGUAACACAAGAAAAAAAACUAGAAUAUACAGAUAACAAUAUUAAAAUAUACAGAACAAUUAAAAUACACAGAUAAAAAAUGGUGAAUGAAGAGAAAUGGGUUAAAAAAUCCCAAAAAUGGUGUCUUUCAGAGAUCAAAGAAAAGAAUAUCCAAAUGGGUCGUGAUGUUACGUUCUCUUUUUCUUUAUCUUCCCUAUGUUGCUCUACCGUAGGCGGAGGUAGACGCCGCCACCUUUCUCUCUUAUAUAUACUUCUCUUCAAUUUCCCAUCUUUUCUAUUUUCAUUUUUCUAAUUAAAAAAAUAAUUGCAAAUAAUUCGAAAUAGUUUCUGUGUUUGUUUGGGUAUCAUUAUUUUAAUAAAAAAUAUCUUUUUCUAUUUUUUAACGUGUUUGGCAAAUUUAUAGUAAUAAAAGUAAAAGUACUAGAAAAAUAAAAAAAAAAGUUGUAAUUUAUAUUAUUUUUUAAAAGAUCUUUUCUCUUAAAAAAAAGAUAUUUUUCGUGUAAUAAAUAAAUAAAAAAGUACUUUUAUAUCAUUAUACUUAAACAUAAUUGAUAGAUAAAAAGAUCUUUUUACAUGAAAUAUCCAAACAUAAAAUUACUUUUACUUUUCUAUAAGAUCUUUAAAAAAAAAAUAACUCGAAAAAAAUUUUUUUUUAAAGCUCACCUAAACAAAUUCAGAUAUAGAUUUUUAGACUCGUAAAGAAUUUAACUUAAUUAAUUAAAAGAAAAUAUACACAUGUUGAGAUAAGAAUGGGACGUGGAUGCCCAUUCCCAUGCAGUACUCACAUUCUCAAAGAAGGAAUAAUAAUUAAUGAAUGUUGAAAUUGAUCCCCCUCGUACAUGUAUAAAUAGAGGCCUUUGCCUCCGAGAGAAAUACAACAACAAUAAUAAACUCAAAUACUCUUCUCUUUAUAUUUCUACUACAGUUCUUUCUCUUCUUUUAUUUUAUAAGUAUUUUGAAUUCUAUUUUCUAUUACUCUUUGCAUAUAAUAUUAAUAGCAAUAUUAACCAUCUUUAUUAUAUUGAGAUUGCAACAAUAAACAUAUGCGAUUCUCUCUCUCUUUAUUUUUAAUACUCCUUUCUAUCUUUGUAUAUAUAUAUACAUUACAACAUAUAAUAUUAUUAUAUAUAUAUAAAUUAUUAUUGAGCUAAUUAUUUUAAUAUUAGAGUCUUCUAUUUAUACAUCUCUAUUAUAUAUAUCUUUUAUUUCACAACAACACACAUAAUAUCAAAUAUAAUAGUACUCAGUCACCAAAAAAAAUAUAAUAGUACUCAACAAAAUCUGACAAAUUCUUAACUGUAAAUUACUUUAAAAACCUUCAAAGAAAAGAUUAUUUUGAACUUUUAUCUUUGGCUGCUCUAAAUAUAUUUUGAUUGUUGUCAUCCCCUUCUCUAUUUUCUUAUCCCAAUAAUAACUGGUUGAAUUAGCUUUUUGGAGUAUGCUGGUUUUGAGGUUGAGCCAUUCAUAAAUCAUACUUCAUCUCUCUCAGCAAUAGUCUCCAAAUGAACACAAACCAUCCUUAAAUAUGAGGUGACUUUUUAAAUUGACGUGGCUAAAUAUUUGGUUAUUUUAAAUUUUCAUUUGAUUGUAAAAUAUAAUAAUGUAAAACACUUAUCAUGAGUACAGAAAAAAAGUAAAACAAAAAAACUCAUUAGACAUAAGAAUAUGUCUUAAGGCCCCGUUUAAAUAGGUUCAUAAGUUAUUUUUUUUUUUUUACUUUUAACUUAUAAAAAUGUGUAGUAUUAAUGUCUGGUAUAAUUUUCAAAAUAAAAUUGUAACUUUCUAAAAAACUAUUUUGGUGCUUAAGGAGAAGUUAAAAAAAUAACUUCUCUCAUAAUAAAAAAUUUUUUAUCACUUUUUUCUUAAAAUAAGUACUUUUAGAACUAAAAAACCAAAAACAAAAUAACUUAUUUAUAAGCUACUUUUAAUAUAAGCAUUUAUUGUUUAAGUUAUUUCUUCAAAAGUAACUUAAUUAAGUUGUUUACCCAAACUGGACCUUAUUCUAUUUGAAUAUACCAGGCUACUUAACCAGUAAUUUUUUUUUAAUGUAAUUUGUGUAUAACAUUUGACAAUAAUAAGUAUCAAACUAUUUUAACUUUCCAUUUUGAUCACAAAUUAUGCUAAUUAAUUACAUCAAAAAUCCUGAAAAUGUUUGAUUCAUCUGAGAAGUAGGAAAUGUUUAUGCAGAAAUUAAAAUGAUGUAAAAAAGAACAUUGUUCCAAGAUUAUUAUGAAAGAACUACCAAUGAGUCAAUCACAAUCUAUAUUGGGAAUCUGAACAUCUUAGCAAAAGUAUAAUAAUAAUCCUUCACCACCAAACUACGAAGCCACGUGUCAUUUCAAAUAGACAUCCAAACUGAAGUAGCAUUAGCAUGUGCAUGUCAUGUGCCUUUGAGUUUGAGAUGGCAUGGCAUUUUUUCCUUCUUAGAUUUAUGCAUCUCAAGAUUCUACAGCCAACCAACAAAGAAAAAAAAACAUUUGGAAACAAGAUAUGAAAAUGUUUCUAAUAAUCUAUAUCUGAAUCUAGACAAGUUAGAUAUUUUUCUUAGUAGACAGGGUACAAGAAAAGAAGAAAAUUGAAAUAAACUCAAGACAAAGUCCAACAACUAAUAUUUCAAAUACUAUCUUAAAAGUCAAACCAUAAACUUUUGAAGUUGGGAAAUACAAAGGGACAAAAAAUACACAUUCAUUCCCACUUAAUGUAACUUGCACAACUUCAAAUGCCUGCUACUCAGCUAUAUACUUUAAUUCUAGGCCUAGCUAAGUAGAGAAUCAAAGUACUUCUCCAACAUCUUCUUCAACCUCAUUGCCACAUCAACCAUUGUAAAAUCCCAAGUUAUAAUUUCCCUCUAUAUAAUUUGAUAUAGUGCACAAGAUCUGGAAAGUAAACGAGAACCCAAAUAAUCCACCUAAACAAAAAUCAAGUUAUGUAAACACAACAUGUUGAGAUAAUAAUAAUUAACUAUAAUUAUAACAAGAAUAAUUAGGGAAAAGGGAAAGAAGGAAAAAACCGCUAUCGCCAAUAAGAAGGAGCUUGAUGAGGUAAUCGUAAAGGGCACGUUCCCUAGCAGGUGGAGCUGCCAUCUCUCUGUUUCUAUACAUUUUUAGACUUGUAAUGAAUUUAACUUAAUUAGAUGAAAACAUAUAGACAUUAUAACAUCAAAUAUAAUAGUAUUCAACAAAAUCUAUGACAAAUUAUUAACUGUCAAUUACUUUAAAAACCUUCAAAGACAAGAUUAUUUUAAACUUUUAUCUUUGACAACUCAAGUAUAUUUUGGUGGUUGUCAAUUUGUCUAUCACCUUUUCUAUUUUCUUAUUCCAAGAAUAACUGGUUGAAUUAGCUUUAGGAGCAUGCUGAGUAUUCCUUAGUCAAUGUGCAUUGUUUCAAACAAUCUCCGUGUAAGUAUUGGAUUUCAAAUUCUAACAGUUAAUUCAAACCAUUGAACCCAUCACCAAAAUCCAAAGCCUCAUAGAAAUUCAAACAACCAACCAAGAAAAAAACAAAUUUCAAAGAAUUCCAUCACCAUAAACACCAUUCCAAUUGAAUUCAUGUGACAACAUCAGCUGCAUUUUCUUUCUCUCCGUGACAAACUGUAAUCACAAUUUAAAACCACCUAUAACUAUCUAAACCUAUCAUUAUUAUAGUAAAAAGUGUAUAAGAUACUUAAUACAAAGUAUUUUUUAGAAUUGUUACUACCAAACAUAUCAUUGUUGUAAUGUCUUUCAUACUUUUCUAGGGACUACUGGACCAGGCAUCCUAGAUCUCUUUCACCUUCCAUCCGAUUCACUGUUCAUCCUACAGUUUCAAGAAUAAGAAUUAGACAAUAAAAUAAAAACCAUAACAGGACACAAAUGAAAAAAAUAAAAAAACAAUAAAAUAUUUACUAAGUUUAUCUGACAUACAUAACAAAUUGGCCCCACACAAGGUUAGAAAGAGCUUCCUAAUAAUAUUUGUGUCAUUGUUGGAGAGUUCCAAAGAGAAUAAAAUAAAUAAAUAAAUAAAUAUAAAGUUCAAAAAAACAAGACAAAUAAUAAAAAGCAGUUGUUGCCUACAUUUAUUUGUCUCCAUGGGAAGAUUGGUACAUGCUACUAAAAUUAAUUGGAUGGAGAAAAUAUCCAUAGUUAUGAAUUGCCUUUGCUUUAUCUGCUUCUUUAUCCUUUAAUUCUUUUGCUUUCUUCCAGAAUUCAUUAUAAUUCUUGAGACUGCAAAUCUCACAGCUCUCUAGCAAACAUCAAGUGAAAGGUUCUUUAAAUAAUUUAAACAAAAAAAAUUCUAUAUAUAUACAUUCACAUGAGAAUACCUGAGUUAUCAAUAGAAUCGCUAUAAAAGUCACAAAAUGGUAUAUGAAUUUCCUCAAACUCAUGAACUCGAGCAUAGAAAAUUCUAGGCUCGGCUGUCGAAUGGGCAAUUUUAGGCACAGCCUUUCAAAAGAGGUGGCGAAGAAAACCAAGAUCACCGAAGCACAUUAUCCUGGUUUUGCCCAUACUGACCAAACUUGAAAUCUUGUACUCCUCUUCCUAAAAAACAAAUAUCUAACUAAAAAAAAUUCGAAUAAAAGUAAUGUACUUUGAGAAAAUCAAUAGAUUAAAAGCCUUAUUAUCUAUGCUUUUAUUAUAAUGAUCCAUUGCCAAUACAUGAUAAGGAUGCGUCUGUUUCAAAGAAAAUAGAUUCUCGGCUCUGUAGCACAAAACAAUUACAGAAAAAGGAUGUAUAAAAAAACAAAUUGACUAAUUAAUAUUAAUAUAUUUAAAUAAAAUAGAUUAUUAUGAUGCACUCACUCAGUUGGCUCAUGAGUAUGUGAACUAGGAGGAGAUUUAAAAUGGUACGAGUCAGGGAUUUGGAUAUCUUUGUCAUAUAGUCCACUGGCGGGGAACGCCAUAAGUCACUCAUAACUAGGCACAUAAUAAGGGUCUCUGCUUCAAACAAAAGAGUAUGAGAUGUUCCCAACUAAACAUAGAAGAGAAAGCCGAAAAAGACAAAGGGAUCACUUGGGUUCUGAAUCCAUGUCAGAAUUUUAUGCCUUGAAGCCUGAAAACAAUUACUACUUUAGAAUUCUGAAAACGUACAACAAACCUGCAAUAAAAGAUACAUUCAUAUUAACAAAUUAAAACUUGAGAACUGAUAUCAAUAAAAGCUUCAAACAUUGCAAUAAUCUAAUGUAAACAAAUAGUUCAGAAAUACAUGGUUAUAAGGUCAGAAACUAAAACUAUAUUUCUUUAAAUGUUCAUCCAAAUAUUUGUAAUACAACACAGAUUUUUUGUCCAGUACCAGAACAAAAGAAAGUAAAAAAUUUAAGUGAUGUGAUGUUUUCAUAAAAAUUAACACCAAACCUUUAAUUCCAUGGUAAACACAUAUGCACAGAAUCAAUAUAUUUUAUUAUUGUUUUUGAAAAGCAAAAUGUCUAGGUCAACAUAAAGGGAACAAAUCAUAAACAUAAAAAAGUGCAUCAUAUGUUCCAGUGUAAAGACAUACUUCUGCUGUUCUAGAGUGCCAACAGAAUUCCCUCCUCUAUGUUACAUACUGAAUUAUCAUAGAAUUUCUAAAUAGCAAAUACCCCUUACAGAUAAAAUACCACAACUUCCAAAUUUUAUUCCAUUCCAUAGGAUUAGGUGACUAUCCCCAAACCCACUCCCCAUUAUCUUGAUCAAUUU